rfam:Schistosoma rodhaini strain Burundi genome assembly, scaffold: SROB_scaffold0014947
AUCCAGCUGACCAGUCCCAAAUAGGGCGAAACGCGUGUCUUGGAU